rnacentral:rRNA from 1 species
GACGAACGCUGGCGGCGUGCCUAACACAUGCAAGUCGAACGGAGAUACGAUUUCGGUUGUAUCUUAGUGGCGAACGGGUGAGUAACGCGUGAACAACCUGACUCUUAGAGGGGGAUAACACUAGGAAACGGGUGCUAAUACCGCAUAAGACCACGACCCGGCAUCGGGAUGAGGUCAAAGGAGCAAUCCGCUGAGAGAGGGGUUCGCGUCCCAUUAGAUAGAUGGCGGGGUAACGGCCCACCAUGUCAACGAUGGGUAGCCGAGCUGAGAGGGUGAUCGGCCACACUGGGACUGAGACACGGUCCAGACUCCUACGGGAGGCAGCAGUGGGGAAUAUUGGGCAAUGGGCGCAAGCCUGACCCAGCAACGCCGCGUGAGGGAAGAAGGCUUUCGGGUUGUGAACCUCUGUCCUUGGUGACGAAAAAAAUGACGGUAGCCAAGGAGGAAGCCCCGGCUAACUACGUGCCAGCCGCCGCCGUAACAC